UACAAACUAAAGUAGAGUUGCACUGCAAGGGCAUCAGUGCUGCUGGAAAACAGCUUUAAUAAUUAAAAUAGUUUGAGAGUUUGUAGUCACAGCUGUUUACAGGUCCAGGUGGGAGCCUCGCUGGCUUAAAUGGGCAUCUUUGAAUUACUAAGGUAGAUGUGACAGCACUAAACCAAAACUGCAGUUUGUUUAUUACAGGGAGGGUAGAUGGAAGAAAACCCGCCGUAUGUGUAAUGUUGCCAACGCUCUCUGGUAUUCCCAGAGGAAAAGACAUCUCGGUGACUCUCCUCUGCCUUGUCUCCCGAGACGGACGACUUCCCAAGCUGCUGACGAUGAAAAGGUGUUUUUUUUUAAAAAAAAAAAAAAAAGUCAGAAGUUAAACAGAUGUCCUCGGAGAAGCCGAAGAUGGAAAUAUUUCUCAUGUGAGCAAUUGCAGAGACACAGAGCAGCAGCCCUUCCUACGGGUCGCGGGGAGCAGAGCUGCCUCGAGUUUCGCAGGUAAAACACGAUACGGCGCUCGACGUUGAAUUCUUAAGCGCACGGAGGAUAAAGUCCCAAGGGACUUAAUUUCCCCAGGCUGAGAGGGGACGGUACUUUUCAGAAACACGGAUAAGCCAGCUGUGUUACCGUGCCCCUUCAGUUGCUUCCAACCGCGAGCACCCGUAUUCCAGAGGCUGUUGGGAAUCCACGGGCUGUAUGCCGGCCGCCUUGCCGUCUGAGACGUCACGCUGCAGUUGCCGCUCUGCUUCUCCUUCGCUUUUGCAUUGCUUUCAUCUAGAGUGUGAAAUUCCAAGUCACCGUGAAAAAGCUGCCUUAGGAAUAUUCUUGGCAAUACUGCAAGCAGCGAGUACAGGAAGCCUCACAGGAGAGUUUGUUCCAGAAACGCUGCCAUCCACGUUUCUCAGCUGCAGGGACGCUCCAAGCGAAUCCGAACGCCGUCUCCUCCCUUCUACAGGACCUUGCUGAGGUCGAAGUACCUGGGACCAGAAAAGUUGAAUUCGGUUAUGCCGCAAUCACGACCCACUGAAAAAAAUAAUAAUAAUACUAAUAAUCCAUGAGAAAAGUUUCCCAAACCGAAAAGGGGGCAAGGCAGUAUAACCCAGAAAAGUUGAAUUAGGUUAUGCCACAAUCAUGACCCACUGAUAAUAAUAAUAAUAAUUAAUAAUAAUCCAUGAGAAAAGUUUCCCAAACCAAAAAGGGCAAGGCAGUAUAACCCCGUUACCGCCCAACAGGCUGGCCGGCAGGCAGAGCAGGAGAGCGAAGGGGAAGGAUUACGAAGGGCGAACGUGCCUCUGCUGUGUGUCGCUUACUUAGCGGCCAACGUUUGUAAGCGAAGACGAGCGGCGAGUGUUGGGAAGAGGAAGGCAGCGCUGUCUCUCCCGUUCGCUUCCAGCGCUGUUUCGUGCCACCGCGUCUGGUUUCAGCAGGCGCGUGAGGGGGUUCUGAGGACGUCCUCUUGGUAACCGAUUAUAGGCUAAAUUUCUGAAAGCAUAUUUAAGUGAAGAGAGCGUACGCAUUUACGGGGGAGUUAACCUUUCCAGUGCUCUCACAGUACCUGUGCCAGGCGCUUCACAACGAGACGCAAGAACCAACCUACAGCUUCCCACGCUGUCAUUUGCAACAGUUACCUGUUGGCCUAAAUCGCUGUGCACGGUGUUUAAUACGAUAAAAACCUCAAUAACCACAAUGCCUUUAGAAACGCCUAGCUCUUCCUUCAAUACCGUAGCACUGCGCAACAGCGGGCUCUCCCUGCCGGCUUAGAAAACCAUUUUACCUCCUGCAAACAUGAAAACCCCUUACAGAGCCACAAACGAGUUCUGCAGACGCCGGAUCAGCCCUGUGUGACCCUGGCGAUGGACCUAUUCCGCUUCUACCGCCGCUGAGGUUUUCUGUUGAUUCCCCUACCAGGGGACACGGCGGCGGUGUUGUAUCUCCUGCACGAGACGCAGCAAAUGAGAGACCGGUGUGCUUCGAGCUUACCACUUACACAGAGGAUGAGGACGGCUACAACGUAAGUACAGCCAUAGUAGCUCACAAAGUACUGACCCAGGAAGAGAGGCUUACGUGGUAACAGAUACGAAAUCCGAACAUUAGACUUGUAAGCAUCAGGGGAGUGUGUAGGGGCCAUCAGAAUUAAUUGCACUUGAGUGUAAACUGUUGACAAGCUAAAUCUCUUCAGGGGAGGAUUUGCGAGAGCACGGUAUUCUUCGGGGGACCGUGCAAAUCUGUGUUGCAACAGCCUGUUUCCUGAGGUUUCCUGAGGGAUGGGAGAGCAUUUCUAGGAAGGCUGUAUUUUUGGGGGGGUUUUUUGUAGUUACACCGCCUUUACCAGCUGCACAAAAUUCCUUCUUGAACGACUAGGUUCCAUAAAAGCAAUUACAGAAAAUUCUGGGAUUCUUAUUUUCAUUUCCUUUAGUAACUCUGCAGAGACAACUUUUCUUGAAUAAAUAAGCAGAGCGCGCACGCGAGGCGGCAGAGAACACUAUGAGCGAGCCUCUGCGUUUAUCCUUCUUCACACUGAGGAUAUAUGGAAAGCACUAUUAUGUUUUCAUGUAUGCUGUGCGCUACUCAGUUGCAACCACGUACGUAAUUUUAUAAGAAAUAUUUAAAAGGGCGUGGAAAGAUUUACUUGUUGUGCGUGUGGAACGCACAAGGGGAAAUACCGGAAGCCUUCGGCGCAAACGCUUUGAGGAGGAACUGGAUACCUAAGGCUGCGCAGACCAGAGAUUUAAUUUCUACUCUUAUCUUUUCUAGUGUUGCUGCUUGGGAGUGUGGUACUCUUAUCAGUACAGGGGAAAAAAAAAAAAAAAAAGGGUCUUUUCUUUCAAAGCACCAGCACAAUAAAAGAAAGCAAGACCUGACCUCAUUUGUUGGUGGCAGUGUUGAGAUGAACUGCAGCUCUGACCUAUUUCUCCGGAGCUACAAUUAUCUGCUGUAAUGGUACCACUUUACUUUUUAAAUCCUGGAUUACUGUACUUUGAGAUUUAGAGAAGUUACUCUCCUUCUGGUGACAGGCCUUGUUAUUUUAGGGGUAAGCCAGCGUGAAGGAUGAACGGAUGAAUGCACGUCAAUGAGCAAAGACAAGGCAGGGGCUCAAGCCAUCAUAAUGAACUUGUAAUUUUUAUUGGAAUGUAUUUAUACGUAUAAUCUUAUCAUUUAUUUAUAUAAUUUUGUUUAUUUAUAUGCACUUCUGCGGGUGUGUGUAUAUCUAUAAUGUACGUCUAUAUCCAUAUGUGUCCCCACACAGAACGAUCUCAGCUGAGGUCGUGUGGUGCGGGAUUUGGGUUUUGUUCGUUUGUCUGGCAGACUGCGCUUCGCUGUGAUAUGAUCAGCUUCUCUGUGCAACAUGGGCACGAUAAAUAUAGAAGACUUCAAGAAACCAAGUUCUUACAGAUUCAGGACCAAAGCCCUUGGUGAUAGCAGUUGACAUAGCUGCCUUUAAGUCAAUUUAAUACUCGCUUCAAUCAGCGGAAGGAAAGUGAAUUACAUUACGUGAGGAUCUGGCGGCAAAGGAGGGAUGCAGAUUCCACUAAUGGAAAGGUUUGGAACAGAAGCGGGCGGAAGAUAGUGCCGUGGUUUGCUCAAAAAUGAGAGAGAAUGUUUUCAUGGCUCCUGAGGGAAGUUUCUGGAGAAGAGGCAAAAGCAGGGAAACGAGAACGGAAGAGAAGACUGGGACCACCGCGGAGGAGCGAUGAGGAGGGGCUGCGGGAUCGCAAAGCAAGGCAGAAGGAAACAGCCGGCCUUCCCGAGAUGAAAUAGAAAGAGUGGAUCUCAUUGACUGCAGCAGGAUGUGAUUUCAACAAACGUAAACAGCAUUUGGCCGAGAUGAUAAAAGAAACGAUAACAACUACAGUCCCGUCUCCACGUCCUGAAGCAAAGAAGCGGUCUUACAUCAUGGACAAACUUAUUAUUUUACGGAAGAUGGGAAACUUGUCAAAAUCAAGGCAGUAUCUUCCAAAGUUUUUCCAGAAAAAAAGAAAAACUCGACCGCUGUUUUCUAUCUAGUUCUGAAGUCAGAAAUAUGGUCAGUGGGGAAGAAGUCAGGCUCCGGAGCAGCAUUUAGUUCUGGUCUCCCAAAAGAACGGUAACGUCCUUCACGCAGUUAGCCAAGCGCAAGGCGAAGAGACCACAUAUUCACCGUCAUUGUGUGCAAGUCGCUUGGGGCUCCUGCGGAUUCUGCAGGGAGGACCUGUAUCUGUAGGUCAAGUAAAGAGGGUCUGAAGAACAACUACAUCAAGAAAGAAGCAACGCAGAAACAGAAACCUGAAUCAAUAUUCAGUCGAGCCCAUUAAUUAUGCAACUCAUUUUGUACUGAUGGAAACGCGUGCACUUGCUUCCAACCGAGUCACCUCUUACCUGCUGGGAAGCUACGAGAGCGCUGGCAGCAGCGCGGGAGGCGAGCAGGGGUGCGGUGGCAGCGCCGUGACCCGCACCUCAAGGAACUGAGCCCCCAGCGCUGAGCGGGUAUGGCAGGACCCAGCCACAGCCUAUAUCAUCCCAGCUAUACGUAUGCCACCGUAUGGAUUGCCUCUGUCAUCUGCAGCGCUUUUGCAGCGGACUAUUAACUUCAUUAGAAUAUUUUGGAAUCACAGCGUGGCAAAUAAUACCAGAAUCUUCUCCCAAAAGAAAAUAUCAGCACGCUUUCCUAUUCCUACUACACAUCAGAUGAAAUGAGUCUUCUCUUAAAUGCGUCUUCUCAUGAGUAGUGUAGUUUGUCUGUAUUGUCACUGCUCUUUGGUAAUCUCACUUGCAGGAGGAGGAAGAGGGAUGUAGCGGCUCCUCCGAGUAGUAAGGCUGUUUUGGGUUUCUGUUGUGGUAGUACCGAAGGGUUCCGAUAGGAUGCGAAGUUACUCUGUCACCCCUUUCACUGUCGGACAGAGUUCAUCCGACCUACAAAGUUCAUUCACAGUCCUAUGACUUCUCCAUUCUUGAUUAUCCUGAAUUUAUACUGGUAUAACUUUAUACUUCUACAAUACUUCAAAACCUUGAAAAAUCCUUUAAAUGCUGUCUAAAUCUUUAAAUGCUGUUUACAUUUUAAAUACCUCAAAAAUAUUUGAAAGUUACCUUUAAAUGACGUUUAAACGUGGGAAGUUUUUUUUCCUAUGUCUGAUGUCACUUUUUUUUUCUUAUGUAGGCGGGUUUUUUCUCCAGCCUUUGCGUUGCCUACCUGCAGCGAUCCUACGUCUAGCUGCAGCCCGCUCUCCGUACGUACUGCUCAUCGCCGGUUUCCCCAGGGUACGGCAGGCUCUCUCGUUGGCGAGUGCAUAAUCUCCGAAAUGAGAGGUAUCCAUCCCACCCCAACAAGGCGAGCCACAGCCUCGGAGCUUCUCGGUGCUCCGCAGCAGAGGCUCAUGUACGGCAUCGUCUCCUGGCUACGGUCACCCUUCGUUUUACUCCAUCCCACUGCACGGGAACUGCUCAGCACGGAGUACGUUUGGAUGGCUGCAAGGGAAGGAGCUGCUCGCCUUCGCUCCUGUAAGCUGUCCACGCUGCUUCGGAAUAGCAAAGCCAAGGAGUGGCGAAGGGCCGAGCUGGAGAAGACACUUGCCCUCAACCAACCCAGAUGUAAGCAAGAAGCAAACGGUUUGCACGUCAGCGUACACCUGAAGAGAACGUAGGCGGUAAAGUCUGUCAGAGAACCGACGGGAUCAUCUUUAAUUUGCUCACUGAACAGAGAACAGUAAAGAUCAUUACAGUAGCCUUUUGUACCAUAAAAGCAGGGAGAACAAAUAUCACGUUACACGCAAGUGAAACCCAGCGGUCACAUUCACAGCUGUGCCCUUAUCACGAUCUUUCGCGCUACAAUAAAUGUUCUGUGGAGCCGGAGAUAACAUGGUAGAGGAAAUGUUGGAAAAUGCUGGCACUCUUGCAAAUGAUUAAAACAAAAACAAAGAAAAAGGGGUUUCUCGUAUUACCGAUUUACAUUUUGCAAAGUAACUCCACUUGGAAAGGAAACCAAAACUUCCCUUAGUUAGUUUUGUUCCAGUGAGCUGAUUUAGAUAAUUUGCACUUAAGUCAUUUGCACAUUUAAUCAUUCCUACUUGAUAAUUUUUUGGCCAGUAAAUAAGAAUAUAUUUGUUGCUCUGAGCAUUCUGAAGUACGCUGAGCAAAGACGUAAGAAAUGGCAUUCUGACAAAGUUAAAUUAGUCUACGGGCUAGCUGUCUGGAUGUUGAACAUAACUUUAUUCUUAUUUCCCUUCAUUUUUCUCUUACUGUUAGCACUCCCUGCUGUCUAGGUCAUGAAACCAGUUACCGCAUUUCUUCUCUACUUAUAUUUAAAGCCUCCACAAGUCUUACAACUGUGUUUUUCUCAAAAGCCAGCCUUCUUCCCAGUCAACACUGUCUCAGCACCAGCCUAUGCACUGCUUCUUUCCAGAUCUUCCUGAUUUCUGACCAAAUCUUUCCUCCUCUCUUCGGUUCCAUCUGUCCAAACCAUUGCCAUCAAAAUAUUUCCCUUUUCUCACCACUCUGAGAACGUUUCCCUGCUUCUAAAAUCUCAGCAUUGGCUUACUUGACCUUCGGUGCCUGGUUAGACCAGCCAAGGGUUUGCUCCUCGUUGUGAUAACCGGCAAUAAUCUCCAGCAGGCUUUUGGGUGACUUAGGAGGAACUGAAGGGCAUCAUAUUAUUGCCAUUACUUUUCACCACCUCUUCCCGUUCCAGUUCUUGUGGGAGCUGUGGUACUGGACUGCUCAGACCAGCACGUGGUCACGGUGGGUUUGUAGCGUUUUGGAGUUGCCUGCGUUCUCUGAUGACUUUACGGAGCUUGCUCAAUGCAAGGGGAGCACAGCAGAAGAGCGAACGCAGACUCCUGUGUUUGCUACUUCAUUUGUAAAAACUUGUGAGCUUCUAUGGAGUAUGUCAGCUGAGAUCACAGUUAAUUCAUAAUCUUGAUGAUAUUGAGGUUGUCAUAGCCGGCUUUUCCAGAUGCAUAUAUUUAUCUUGAAAUUAUAGGACAAGGUAACAUUAAAAUCAGACCUCUUACCAUGCCAGAGAAAGGCACGUAUUUCUGAGCGUCUGUCACCGCUGAACCAAAAGUAACAAACUCCUGGGAACUCUGGAGGGAGAUAUAUUUAUCCUGAGUCAUCCAGUCAUACGGGGCUCAAGGCUGGUGCUAAAACUUCCAGAAACAUUUGGAAAGCAACCAUGGAAACCAAUCAAACAACCGAAACCCUCGAAGAGCAGUAAGAGCCCAUCGGAGCCAGCACUCACGCGUCAGGACAUCCCUUCUCUGCUCAUUCGGCUUCUGCCACGCACACCACCUCCUCCAGCACACCACCUCCAAAAUUGCUGUGCUUUUUGCCUGCACUGCGGUGGCCUGAUGUUUCCUGAAACUCUGCAAGUUAGCUUGUGAUGACCCUCAAGUUGUGUCGCACUUAAACGGUUGAUCUGCUUAUAUUUGUCAGUAGAGGUUUCCCUGAAGUAGUUCAACUGCUCCUACGCGAGACAUGAACGUUGUCAGCAACAGAUCUCUACCCUUAUACCGACAAGAUUUCACAAGCCAUUUUCCAAAAGUAACUUUGAGUUUCUGGGGCCUGAUCAGGUGAGUUUUGUUGUUCCUCUUCCCUUUACUCUCCUCGGAAGGAGCUUUGUCAAUGUGACGUAUCUCCCUGGCACCCUUCCUACGGUUGAUUCGUCUACGUGGGAAAUCUCUUUCCCGUUCUUCUCAGAGGAGAGCGGCGAGGAAUUUAAUGAGGUCUGGGUCUAUAUGAGUUUCAGAGAAAUUUGUAAGAGUCAUGCCUGUAUUUGUCACAUUUAUGUUUCAGACCAGAGCGAUUUUUUUGUUAAUGUUGGCAACUCCGAACAAUGAAAGUCUUAAAGUUAUUAAAUGUAAACUGUGUCGGCCAGCUGAUGGGGAGGAAAAUCCAGACUUUAGCGGCAUCUUGGAAUCGUUCAAUUUUAAUUCUUGAAAUUAACAUCAAAGAUAUUUUUGCUUUAUGGAAAAUUUUUCAUCAUUUUCCUUCUUUUUCGUGCUUGUUCCUCACUGUACCGUCUAACUGCAACGUAACUGUACGUAUGGGUGCGCGCCCCGAUAUAUAGCUAUUGGCAGCAUUUGGGAUAUCAGUCCUGGAUGUGGGAUGCAGCAAAGACAGAUAAGCAGUUUACAGCCUAGAGAGGUCUUACAGAAUUCAGUCUGGGAGCUCUCGUGGCUCUGGUGCCCAGAAGAAAAAUGCAGUCUGGAAAAAUCUUUUCUGUCUUCCUCUACAAAAUGACUUUUGAGGUUCAGCAGUAAUCUUGGCAGACCGCGAGCUAGCCUGUCUGCUUACGAAUAUUUACAGCUCCACUUGUCCAAGCUCUUCUCUUUACCAUGUCCACCAAGUGAUCUACUGAAAAGAAGGGAAAGAAUCCCAUUAACUUUGGUAGCUACUGGGAUAACUCCUUAUUCAACUCAGAUGGGAAGGGUGACUUGCCUACGUAUAAAUAUAACCGAUGAUGAACCCAAUAAUAAUCCAGCUGGUCAAUGGCUCAACGUUGAGAAGGAGAAAUAUCCCCUUCCCUUUUUUAAAAAUAUAUUGUAACUAUGCAGUAAUGCUCCUAAAUAUCAUUUAUAUAAGUUCAUAAUACCUUUACUGAAGCAUUCUGGACACCUUCCAUUGAACACUGGUCUUCCCUUUGUCAGAUCUGAGGAUUCAAAAUGUUAUUGUUAGAGCAGUGGUGUUUGGUCUCUGAAUUCCUGAAUUCAGCAUCCCAUUGACAUGGUUUCAGUCAUUAAGCAUGUAAGGUAGCAACCUCCGGCACACUUUUCUGUGUUCUGCUCUUCCUUCUCACCUUCCAGUCCUUGCUCCAUUGACUAAUUCAUUCACGGCUUGAAGUAUCUUUUUUGUAAUAAUAUCUAUCGUUCAAAUCCACGUCAUGGAAGUCAGUGGCAAGAGGGGUAAUUCUGGGAAUGUUGCUGACUCUGCUACUUGCUUGUAGGAAGAGCUGUGUAAAUAAUGUAAUAUUUUGUUUGCUAGGAAUUCAUAAAAAAUUACUCAGCUCAAAAUUAAAGCGCAUUAAAAAGAAAUCACUCUCUUCAAAAGCGUUAUGUUAAAGGAACAUUCUUAAUUAAAAAUACCUUCAAAUAAAAAAAGAAAAAUGUUUUAUUUAAAAUCCUGAGAUGAAACUUGCAUCUUAUUAGAGCAUUUCUGUUUCCUUUCCAAUGCAAACCAAUGAAAACAUCCCAGUUUUGCUAAACCCUUACUUCUGUCCUUGCCGCACACACGCACAAAGAUGAAAAAGCCGCAUUAAUUUUUCACCUAGCUCUCCCUGCAGUGCUUCCCGAGUUGGAGUUAAAUGGCCAGCAAUGCCUCCUACUCUGUCAGGAGUAAUGCUUUUUUAGGCAGAGAGAAGUUUUGGUCUCCUGCAUACCAAGAGCGUGACAGAAUCACUGAGCUAUCAAAUCAGUUAUUCUGCCAACAUCUUUCCGGUUCGCUGGAGAGUAAAUUAAUCCUACAUAAGAGGGCUCCAGCAGGAGAGUAAGAGCGAGCGCGCACGCUGCCGUAGUCAGGGAGCAAGGUGCUUGCCAGGAGUGUAAAUAAUGGAUAAAUAAUUAAUUUUCUUUGGGGAGCCUUCAAGGAUCGACUUCUCUGCUUAUGCGGACAUGGUGGGACAACUGCAGCAAGGGGUUGAGCUAGAGAGCUGCUCCGUGGAUAGAAAACAAGCCCUUGGGCAGGUUGCUCGGCAGCUCCGUCACGGCUCUUGCCCACUCACUGGAGACCUGGGAUGUCUGGGACCGGCACCAGUUUCUGGAGUCAGCACCGAUCAGAAGGUGCUGGGGAGGGAGCUGCUCCAGCAGAAGACGUUAGGACGCACCAUAGCCCACCACCAUCACUUGGAAACCAUAGGCUACAAGGAGCGAUUCUGGCACGCUGGCCGAGUGACGUUAGCAGUGCUUCUGCAGCUUCCUUUAGGAGAGUCCAACAGCUCCGAUCUCGGGUUCCUUCCCCUCCCGGACGCUCCUGAGAUCAAGCCCACAACCACCUUCUUGGCCAGUUUGGGGAUGUUUGUCGUGCGUUAGCAAUGCGAGCCUCUGUGGAACGACGACAAUUCUUUCAGUGUGCCAGGAAGGAGGCAUUUGGAUCACAUUUUUAAAUCGACAAGAUAGGGAUUUUUGUUGUUGUUGUUGUUGAUCAAAUUACGGUUUUUCAGCUUUAUUGCCGUAAUGUACCCGUAACUGCUUCAAUGGUUCCCAUCAGUUGCCCCAAGGCAAUCAGCUCUUAGCCGCAACAAUACGCCCAGCCUGGGGAAGGAUCGAGGAUUUCUGUUCACAAAUGUCUGGCCAGAAAACAAGUAUUUAUUUAAACCCAAGAUUACUCAGGUUUUCAGGCCAUUUUCUGUCUAGACCUCGGCUGUCAAUGGCUGUUGCGCUUGUUCACGAACUAAAUAUACAAUAUUCCCAGCAGUCCUCACAAUGAGAAGUCUACUCGAACGACCUUUCGACAGCUCUCUGACUCCUUCAAAACGUAAGCAAAUUGAAAAAUCUGUAUUUGCAAGCUCAGAAAUAAAAUGAAAAGCUCACUUCGGCCGUCUAAAAAUAAAGCCAUAUAAAGCAAAGACCUUGCUGAAUAGCAAACUCUUAAAAUAAAUACAAUUUCCUUUGCCACAGUAAGUGUUGUUUCAGAUUCUAAAGUUGAAUAUAUAAUUCAUUGCACAUUUUGUUAACCUGCGGGAACUUUAGUGGAACAGCUCUUCACUUUCUUACGGACUCGAACUGCUUAUUGCUCUCUUAAAACCCCAACUUCUGGAGAAGAGAAACUUGCUCUGGGAUGUUUUUUAAGCUUUUUUUUUUUCUUUUUCUUAUUUGGUUCAUUAUUGAGAUCUGACUUUCUGCACCCGCUAGAUCCAGCACAGAUUGAUUGUUUCUGGGGCCUUAACAGAAACCUCAAACUUGGAGAAGUUAACCCAGCGGGCCAGAUCCUUGGCUGCUGCUCUGGCCGCGCUGGUCUGCUCAGGAAGAAUUUGGAGAACGUCUGGAGUGCUUAAACAGCAGCUACAAAUUACGGUUUUCUUUCAGGGCAAGAGUGAACUACGUUUAAGAGAUAAUUGUCUUAAGAAGAAAGAAAAAAACCCUGAAGUGUUUCCAAGCCAUUCAUCGCUUCCCUAGUUUCUCUCCUUAUGGAAAUUGUCCAAGUCCUAUGAUACUGAUCUUGUAAACAAUUAUUUCCCUUCCUUAGCUCCUGUAAUAAAAUUCAUACUUGAUAUUUCUGUUAGAA